GAAAGUCACUACGCUGCGUAAGAGAAGCCAAAUAAAGCGCAUGCUGUGUACAGAGGGUGUCGAGAAUGCCUCCUACGUGACGGAAAGCAGAUCCGUGGUUCCCUGCAGACUGGCAGGAGCAGAUUCCAAAGGCACAGGAAGAAGCUUGCAGGCAGCUGCUCCCAACCCCAGAACCUUUGCUGUCUUGGGACGGAUCACCGCUGCAAGAGGGGAAGUUGCUACUGUGAUGAAUUCUGCCAUGUGGCACCAGACUGCCACCCAGACCACAGUGUCCUCUGCAACCCUGCUUCUCAGAUGACCAAGAUGGUGCUGCAGAUGGUGCUGAGGAUGGAGAACCCACCAAGCCCCGCUAGGAGCCACCUAGACUGGAUGCAGAGCAUGGUUCAGUGAGUUCUCCAAACCAGCCUCCCAGGAAUGCCAUUCAACAUGGCUGUGAGGAGAAUAAAGAAGAGAGCCUGACUCCUCUCCUGAGGCCCCUUCCCCACC
rnacentral:lncRNA from 10 species